rnacentral:rRNA from 1 species
UGGUACCUACGGGGGGCAGCAGUAGGGAAUCUUCCACAAUGGACGAAAGUCUGAUGGAGCAACGCCGCGUGAGUGAAGAAGGGUUUCGGCUCGUAAAGCUCUGUUGGUAGGGAAGAAAGAUAGAGGUAGUAACUGGCCUUUAUUUGACGGUAAUUACUUAGAAAGUCACGGCUAACUACGUGCCAGCAGCCGUGGUAAUAAGUAGGUGGCAAGCGUUGUCCGGAUUUAUUGGGCGUAAA